rnacentral:rRNA from 1 species
GGUCAAGCUACUAAGGGUGUACGGUGGAUGUCUUGGCAUCGAGAGGCGACGAAAGACGUGGUAGCCUGCGAUAUGCUUCGGGAAGCCGGCAAACAGGCAUUGAUCCGAAGAUUUCUGAAUGUGGAAACACGGCUGGGGUUAUUCCCAGUCACUCCUGCCUGAAUGUAUAGGGCAGGUAGAGCGAACGCGGGGAACUGAAACAUCUAAGUACCCGCAGGAAAAUAAAGAGACAUCGAUUCCGUGAGUAGCGGCGAGCGAAAGCGGAACUAGCCCAAACCGGGAUUCGUUCCGGGGUUGCGGGCGCCUUGAGGGGUUACAAAACCAUGGUCAGUCGAAGAGUCUGGAAAGGCUCACCAAAGAGGGUGACAGUCCCGUAGGCGACGGCCGAUGGUCCCCGUUACAGAGGCGUACCAGAGUAGCACGGAGCUCGUGGAACUCCGUGUGAAGCAGGGCGGCCCACCGCCCAAGGCUAAAUACUCCUCGAUGACCGAUAGUGAACCAGUAGGGCGAUUGAACGAUGAAAAGCACAGCUUUUAGCUGAGUUAAAAGCACCUGAAACCGUACACUUACAACGCGGUAGGAGGCCUAUGGCCCGCAAGGGCAAUGGCUGACUGCGUACCUUUUGCAUAAUGGACCGGCGAGUUCACGUUUACAGCAAGGCUAAGGAGUCAAGCUCCGGAGCCGCAGUGAAAGCGAGCCUUAAGAUGGCGUUUAGUUGUAGGCGUGAGGCCCGAAACCCCGUGAUCUACCCAUGGCCAGUGUGAAUGCCCCGUAAAAGGGGCAGAAGGCACGAAGACGUGAACGUUGAAAAGUUCUGUCAUGAGCUGUGGGGAGGAGUGAAAGUCUAAUCAAACGGGGAGAUAUCUGGUUCUCUUCGAAAUGCCUUUUGGGGCAGCCUCGAGCCACUACUCACAGGGGGUAGAGCGACUGAAAGGAGACAUGGGCCUACCCGGCUACAUGCUCCUACCAAACUCCGAAUACCUGUGAGACUAUCUCGGGAGUGAGUCCGCGAGGGAUAAUCUUCGCGGUCAAGAGGGAAACAACCCAGACCGUCUGCUAAGGUCCCGAAAUUCAGCUUAGUUCGAUAGGAAGUUAUCUUGCUGAGACAGCCAGGAUGUUGGCUUAGAAGCAGCCACCAUUUAAAAAGUGCGUAAUAGCUUACUGGUCGAGCCGGAUAGCGCCGUAGAUGAUCGGGAAUAAGCUGGAUACCGAAGCAGCGGGAACAAGCAAUUGUUCGGUAGAAGAGCGUUGCAUGCAGCAGUGAAGGCGUACCGUAAGGAGCGCUGGAGCGCAUGCAAGUGAGAAUGCCGGUAUGAGUAACGAUAACGCAGGUGAAAAUCCUGCGCGCCGAAAACCUAAGGUUUCCUGGGGAAGGUAAAUCCGCCCAGGGUUAGUCGGAAGCUAAGUGGAGGCCGAAAGGCGUACACGAUGCACAGCAGGUUAAUAUUCCUGCACCGACGGUGAAGGUUGAACCACGCGUGACGUCCUUCCAAGGCAGAUCCCCCGAUCAGAUGUGGGGGUUGGGCGCGGCGCAAGCCGCGAUCACCAGGCCGUUUUGUUGCCGAAGUCUGUGGCGGGAGGGCCGAGAAAAACCGCGUGGGGACGACAUCGUUGCCCGUACUAAAACUGACACAGGUAGGUGAGGAGCGUAUCCUCAGGCGCUCGAGAGAACUGCGGUUAAGGAACUAGGCAAUCUAACCCCGUAACUUCGGGAUAAGGGGUCCCUCCUUGCUUUUAGCAAGAGGGCGCAGGAAACGGGACGGGCGACUGUUUAUCAAAAACACAGUUCCGUGCUAACUCGCAAGAGGAUGUAUACGGAAUGACGCCUGCUCGGUGCCGGAAUGUUAAGGAAGUCGGUUAGGGGUUCGCCCCAAAGCUGGCAACCGAAGCACCGGUAAACGGCGGCCGUAACUAUGACGGUCCUAAGGUAGCGAAGUUCCUUGUCAGGUAAGUUCUGACGUGCAUGAACGGCGUAACGACUUGUCCGCUGUCUCAACCGCAGACUCGGUGAAAUUGAAGUGGCGGUGAAGAUACCGUCUACCCGCAGCAAGACGGAAAGACCCCGUGGACCUUUACUAUAGCCUGGUACUGACGCCGGGUGGAAACUGCGUAGGAUAGGUGGGAGGCGUUGAUCUGCCGGUUCUGGCCGGCAGGGAGCCAACGGUGAAAUACCACCCUGUUUGCAUUCGUCGUCUCACCCUGGUCCGUGAAACCGGCCAGGGAACCGUGCUAGGUGGGUAGUUUGACUGGGGCGGUCUCCUCCCAAAGAGUAACGGAGGAGUGCAAAGGCAGGCUCAGUCCGGUUGGCAAUCGGACGUUGAGUGCAUAGGCACAAGCCUGCUCGACUGCGAGUGCUACGGCACGAGCAGAGCUGAAAGGCGGCCUAAGUGAUCCUGUGGUCGCGUGUGGAAGCGCCAUAGCUCAACGGAUAAAAGGUACCCCGGGGAUAACAGGCUGAUCGCAUCCGAGCGUCCAUAGCGGCGAUGCGGUUUGGCACCUCGAUGUCGGCUCAUCACAUCCUGGGGCUGAAGGCGGUCCCAAGGGUUUGGCUGUUCGCCAAUUAAAGUGGUACGUGAGCUGGGUUCAGACCGGCGUGAGCCAGGUCGGUCCCUAUCUGCUGUGGGCGUAGGAAUCUUGAAGGCACCUCUUCCCUAGUACGAGAGGAUUGGGAAGGACGGACCCCUGGUGUACCAGUUGUCCUGCUAAGGGCACGGCUGGGUAGCUAUGUCCGGAACGGAUAAACGCUGAAAGCAUCUAAGCGUGAAGCCUAUGCCAAGAUAAGGAUUCCCAGGGAGCUUGCUCCCGAGAGACCCCGGGUAGACCACCCGGUUGAUAGGCUGGAGCUGUACGGCUCGAAAGGGCUUCAGGUUACCAGUACUAAGGGUCGAUGGCUUGACCAC